rnacentral:rRNA from 1 species
GAGACGCUGGCGGCGUGGAUUAGGCAUGCAAGUCGAACGGUAACAGGGAAAAGCUUGCUUUUCUGCUGACGAGUGGCGAACGGGUGAGUAAUACAUCGGAACGUGCCCUGUAGUGGGGGAUAACUACUCGAAAGAGUGGCUAAUACCGCAUACAACCUGAGGGUAAAAUGGGGGACCGCAAGGCCUCACGCUAUAGGAGCGGCCGAUGGAAGAUUAGGUAGUUGGUAGGGUAAAGGCCUACCAAGCCGACGAUCUUUAGCGGGUCUGAGAGGACGAUCCGCCACACUGGGACUGAGACACGGCCCAGACUCCUACGGGAGGCAGCAGUGGGGAAUUUUGGACAAUGGGGGCAACCCUGAUCCAGCAAUGCCGCGUGAGUGAAGAAGGCCUUCGGGUUGUAAAGCUCUUUUGUUUGGGAAGAAAUCCCUAAGGAUAAUACCCUUGGGGGAUGACGGUACCAAAAGAAUAAGCACCGGCUAACUACGUG